UGAGUGAUGACCUGCUUUACAGGAAGUCGUAAAAGUGGGCGAGGCUUGUUUGGGUUCUUAGCCUUCCGAAGAUGAAAAGAGAUGUUUAAUCGUCGAUAAAACACGUCGGGCUUACUGUGCAUAAAAAUCAAGAAGAAGAGGAUACAAUACGAGUAGGAGACGCACCAAACGUUUUUUAUCAACCGCCGUUAAAAAUCAAGAAGCACAAAGAGAUGGAAGUUAUAAACCCGAAUUGGACAAAAUAAGAAUCAGCAGGUCAGACCAACUUGGCUUUAUCUAAUUUUAAUGUGUGCAUAUUCAGACAACCAAGUCGUGCCCACCCCCACCCCCGCCUCCGCCUCUAUCUAGUGGGACCAAGCCACCUAGAGGCUCUUCUCCACCGCGUCCUCAAUAUGCCGCAAUGCCUUUUACACGUGAUUCAAGUCCUCCAGUCCAAGAGACAGGCGAUCAGGGAGACAAUUCACAUAACAUCCAGAACACUAGUGCUCCACCCCAGCACACAGACAACAGCACACCUCCACCUCCACCUCCACAUGGAGAGGAGGACACAGAGACCGACGGGGGGAAGAAGCAACACCCAGUCCAGGAAACUGACCCCCCACCCCAGGCGUAUGAGAACCCCCAGCCUUCUGAGACCCCAAAUCCUGAAGGAAAUGUCAGUAUGAUGGAUGAAGAUAAUGACAUUCAGGAUUCAAGAAGUGCUUAAGUUGUGUUCAGAAUAUAUACUGUGUUCAGUUGAAAUGAUUAUGCCCAUUAGGGACAAAUUAGAGGAAUUGUUUUCCUAUUUUUUAGACUGUCUAAAUAUUGGGCUACAGUAAAACCGACACUGUUUUUACUCUGUUCAUAGCAGAUCUUUUCUUUUUAAGAUGUUUUCUCAUCCCACAGAUAUUUAACUGUGGGAUAACUGUGCAAUGUAGAAGUAAAUUUGGGCACACUUAAUAACCUUGAAGCACAUGAUUAGUCAGAGACAUCUUGAUACGGCACAAUGAGCCGUCAGUUUUCUUCUACUUUUCCUUCACCUGCAGUUCCACAGGGGGACAGUUGGCUCAAUUCAUUUUGUGGACAUAAUACCAUUGAGAGCUGUGCAUACAUUUUUUUUUCUGAUUCUUUUGCUACACGGAGGUAUGAGAAAAUGAACUCUGUCCUUUGUGUUUUAGACAUGAGAUGAAGACUGAUACACAGCUUCAAGCAUUGCUUAUUUGGGCAUUCUGAAAGUGGAACCUUAAAAUUUAAUUAUUUCAUUAAAGAAAUGCUUCUGGAAAGUUUUCAAACAGGUGACCAGACAGGGAACACUGACAAUUUUGGUUUGGAACACCAAACCAAAUCUUUCUUGCUUUUACCAAAAAGUCAAAGCCAGAAUAGAAUUGUGUGAGUUUUAUAUAUGUUACCAUAAUAUAGGGAGUGAGUGGUGUCAAAUGAAGGACAGAUAGACAAGGAUGCAUAACGCAAACUCUGAAGUUUGGUUUCUCCUCUGUUAAAUUCAUACUAGUCAAAAGUUUUUUUUUUUAAAAAAGGCCUGUUUUCCAAGUGAGAGUUGCACAACUUCAGCUUCCACACUUUAAGCUAUUUAAAAAGUAAAAUUACAAAAGGAAUGUCAUUCAUUGCUUUCAAUCUAAUUAAAUACUAGACUGGUAAUUAUGGUAGAGUAUUUAUUUAUUAAAAAUGCACUAAGUUCUAAUGAAAAUUACCUGUGUAACAGCAAACUAUUAUGUCAAGACAGAAGAUAAAGCUUUAAGUUUUGAGGCAUGGUAAAUGGAUCUUGAUGCUGGAUUAUAAUAAACGAGAGGCUAGAUAAUAAAUAAUAGAUCACCAAAGAAAAGUGUCAGAGUUGUGUAAUACUGGAUUUAAAGUGAAUUGUUUUUUUGUUUUUGCAGUGGGUAGUUACUUCUCAGAUUGAAAUUCAUGCUGUUGGUUUAUUUUUAUAUUAAAACAUCUGUUUAGCUCAUAUUUCCAUACUUUAAUACACCGUGUGUAAUGCUGGUUGGCUUUGUUUUGUUUUUUACAUGAUAAAUAUGUUUCACUUUGAGAAUUUUUGUUUAUGAAAUCAAAGUUUUUGCACAGGAGAAGAACUUAUUUUAAAGACAAAUUUAACAUUUCAAUGAUAUGUUUUGUACAGAAAUCUGCAGUAAGUCAGUGACUUUCUUUGCAGUUGCAUUUCUAAAGAUGUUUUAGUUUGUUGAUAUAUUUUUAUUCAAUAUGUGCCUUUAGGAUUUAUUUUUUUCCACUGUCACUUGUGCAUGCAUAGAAUGGGAUAAUGUAUUGAAGUAAAUAAUCGAUACUCUCCUUUAAUUUUCUUUGAAUUGGACUGAGUAGAAAUGUAACUUCUAUUACUUGAGUUUCUCUAAAACAAUAUUUGUUGAGAAAUGACAGUAUAUGAAUAAACUGAAUUAAAUUUUAGACUAUGUUUUUUGUCAUCAAAACAUUUCUUUAUAUCUUAAACUCAAACUUUUUUGUUAUAUUUUAGUGUUUCAGGACAAAUUGAUGAUCCAUAAGUGAGAAUGCUAAAGAUUCAAGUGUUGUUGGAGGUAUGCGUGGCUUUACAUUCACAGUAUAUUUUCACAGUGGAACUAGUAAUAUCUCACAAGUAAAAUAAUACCUCUAUUGAUUUGACAGGGAAAACAAAAAAAUGAAAUUUCUUUACAGAAUUAAGAGAGGAGUCGGAAACAUAAGGACCAAGUAGUGUUCGACAAUGAGUGUUGGAGAAAAUAAUGUAAAUCCUCUUUUAAAUCUAGCAUGUACUGUAUGAAAUCCUAAUCUAGAUUAACUGAGUUUUAGCAGCAGCAGGUUCUAAAAUGAUUUCAUUUAUCAAACAAAAGCUGAAGUUUAAAAAAAACCUUUGUACGGUAGGAUUUAAGAGGGAAAGCAGCUGCCAUGUGCUGGUGUUUAAAGCCUCUAUAAAAACAGAAGUAUGCUGGUCGGGAGCGCACAUGUUUCUUUCAGCACAACGCCAAGGAAGAGGGUCACCAGUAGUUUAGAGAUGCAACUUUUGCCAUCCCUUAAUCUGGGAAGGGUUACAAGACCAUUUCCAAACUAAAGAAAAAAACGUUAGUGGAAAAAAAUAAUACAACUGCCAGUAUUUGUUGGAGUGGACAUCCAAGAUAGUAAUGCUGAGGGAAUUUGUAAAAGCUACAAAUUGGACUACACAGGCAUCAGUAAGCAUGUUAAAUACUAAAGUUCAUGUCAGCAGAAGAAAAGAUUGAAGAAGCAUGUCAAUUUGAAAGGGUUUCAAUUGGAUCGCCUAAUUUCUAUGAAAAUAUGUUAGCAUGCUGCACCGGAAUGAAUAACAAGACUUCUGGAAAAAUGUCCUUAUGACAGAUUAGAGCAAAGAACAAAUAUUUAUUUGUGACACGCAGCACUAUGUUUAAAGAAAUCCUAAAACUAUAUCAGCAAUUACAUCUCAUAUUAACUUACAAGCACAAGGAUGGAGAGAUGAUGAUUGGCCAACAAUCUAAUCCCAGAUUAAGGGAUGGAUGUAGGACCUGAGCACAUUGCAGUCAUUGAGUGAAGAUUUCUAGAGUUAAAUGUGGUGGAUUCUUUUCAUCACUUAAAGCAAAAAUCACUGCACAAAAAGGUUAAAGUUGUUGUGAAGAUCCAUUCAAAGUCCAAAAUGUCACCCCGAUUUAAAUGCCGCGGUGGUACCUUCAAAGAGCUGUGCAGAAAGGAAAAUCUGAAAACAUCAAUGAACAAUGAAAAAUCCUCUAUAAUGGUGUAAAGUGCCGACAGUCAUAAAGAAAAGCACCACUUCAAGUCGUUGCGGUCAAGAUUUACAUUACAAAUUUCUGAAUCACAGGGUGUAUUUUUAUUUAAUUUUUUUUUCAUUUUGGCCCCAUUUUUGUUUAGCAAAGAAAAAUGUAUGAGUCUUACACAUGUUGUUGCCAUUUGUGUUGAAUUUUUGUAAAAUUCUAUCAAUUUAGUUUUUCUAUGGGCAGAUUCGGUAUAGUUACUGUAAGUUAGUUUGGAACCAAAGUGUGUAUUUGGAAUUGUUAAAAUUACUUUGGUAACUUUUAAACCCUGGUGGAGAGGCCUUUUGUUUGUCAAAUGAUUUUUUUGACUUUGAUAUCAUGCCCUUCAAAGCCUCAAAACCAAAAUUAUUUACACUUUUUGAACUUGUAAGAUCAGAUUGUUAACUUUUGUUUUCAUCUAAGUUGUAAGAGAUUUUUUGUUAUUGUUCUAUUUUUUUGCUAGAAAUAACCUACAAUAAUUACAAUCAAGUUCGAAGUGCAUUCAAGUUGGAAAUGCUUUCAACCACCUAUUCCACACAUGGCCUUCCUUGAAAUAAUUUUGGUUUUGGAGCUUAGAAGGCCAUGACGGUACAACUUCACAACCAAGAUAAUUUUUACAUGUCCAGAUAUGUAAUAACCCCAACAACUGAAAGAGGGUGUACUUUCUGUUUUUCGUGACUGUGGUUCAAUAGGAAUAAAUGGGGAAAAAAUGCUUGAAUCCCAGAGAUUACCCUUUUAUAUUCAGUUCCACUCCAUCUUGAGGCAUCAGGAAGAAAGACAUGACACAGCAGGGUGGUACAGUCAAGAACAUCCUUUUUAUUCAAUCAGGUACUGCUCUUCUCAAACUGUGUUUUUCUUCUUAUGGAAAAGAAACUGUAAUUAACACAUGCAUUUCACCUAGAGCUCUGGGGGUGUUCUUACAAAGAAGUGGGGCUGCACUGAGGAUACUAACAGGGGUGCAGAAGAGCUGGGGAUCAAGGGAUCAGGGGUUAGGGGGGCACUGGAGAUGGGGGUGGAGGGCUGCCUAUUUCACCAGUAACCAUACACAUUAAGAAGAUCAGAAGACCAAAAUAAACAACAAAACAAAGAGACGGAGCAGUCCGGCAUGAGGUGGGCAGAGGUGAAACGGGGAGGGACUUCCUGAAUCCUCUCAAAGCAGAGAGAUCAGGUUCUUGGUGGCGUCUUUAGCGAUCUGGUUGUUGCGUGGUAGGUGGCUAAUACUGCUGAGGGUUUCACAGUGUGGAACCUGCCGUAAACAACGAUACCUUUCUUUGAAAAGUUUGGUUAGAAUUGAUAUGAGAUUUUAACCAAGGAAAUAAAACCACCCCUUUCAGCCUCAUGUGGGACAUUUCCGGUUAUAAGGUGCUUGUAGCUUUAAUUUUACAGGUCGAAGCUUCCUCAUAGGAAGCCUAAAUGACAGCAUACCCUGAUAGCAAAUAUGAAAAAGAAUUCCUAAUUAAAAGGGAACAAAAAGGGGGUACAGAACAAAGCCAUAAUAUAAAUAGCCAAAAGAAAAGAUCAAACUCUUAUCCUAGCCUGAGCAGCCCCUUACCAACCUCGCCAUAGCAGUUCAUUCAGCCCUGUCGACCCCAUCAGUCUUCUUUGUAAGCCUCUCUCUUCUCUUGCACACACACCCUUAAACUCUGCCGUACCUCCUGAACCCACCUAAGGACACCCCCAACAGCCCAUUAGUGUAAUUUGUUCACUUACAUUAGCUGCUGAAUGGAGAAGCUGAAGAAGAUGGGUAUGGUAAUACAAUGUGAAGCAUACAGACAAGAAUAACAUGUGAGCUAACUGCAUUCUGCUCAGACAAAAAGUUCCUCUGCAAAUAUUUUUUUCUCGUUUUUUUUUUUCUUCUAUUUUUACCCUCGCCACAGCGGAGAGGGCGGGACAGAGCGCGCGCGAGAGAGACGGAGAGUG